rnacentral:misc_RNA from 1 species
GAAAUGCGAUAAGUAAUGUGAAUUGCAGAAUUCAGUGAAUCAUCGAAUCUUUGAACGCACCUUGCGCUCCUUGGUAUUCCGAGGAGCAUGCCUGUUUGAGUGUCGUGAAAUCAUCAACUCCUUUACUUUAUUGUGAAGUGAGCUUGGAUUUGGAGACUGCUGGUGCAAAUCAGCUUCUCUUGAAUGUAUUAGCUGGAAUUCAGUUUGCAGCAUAUAUGCGGUGUGAUAAUGUCGUCACUGCGUAGCUGGUAUUCUGUCUGGCUUCUAAUCGUCCUUUACUUGGACAAUUUGAUCAUUCUGACCUCAAAUCAGGUAGGACUACCCGCUGAACUUAA